CCCUUAGAUGUUCUGGGCUGCACGCGCGCUACACUGAAGCUAUCAACACGUUUUCCCUCCCUGAGAAGGGCGGGUAACCUUUUGAAUCAGCUUCGUGGUAGGGAUCGGGGCUUGCAAUUGCUCCCCGUGAACCAGGAAUUCCUAGUAGACGCGAGUCAUAAGCUCGCAUCGAUUAAGUCCCUGCCCUUUGUACACACCGCCCGUCGCUACUACCGAUUGAACGUUUUAGUGAGGCAUUUGGACCGACGCAUCUCAGUUUAACCGCUGGUUUGUGUUGGAAAGACUUCCAAACUUGAGCAUUUAGAGGAAGUAAAAGUCGUAACA
rnacentral:rRNA from 1 species